rnacentral:tRNA from 1 species
GCCCUCUUAGCUCAGUGGUAGAGCACCUCCAUGGUAAGGAGGGGGUCCAGGGUUCGAGUCCCUGAGAGGGCU